AGUUUAUUGGUUUAUAUCAGUCCACCAUCAGAUACUGAUAUAAAUGAAUAUUCAGCUAUGACUUAUACAACGUGCCAUUUCGCCGUGAUUAACACCGAAAUGGCGCGUUUUUCA
rfam:Dolosigranulum pigrum ATCC 51524 genomic scaffold supercont1.1, whole genome shotgun sequence.